UACGUAGGGGGCGAGCGUUGUCCGGAGUUACUGGGCGUAAAGCGCACGCAGGCGGUCUGCUAAGUUUGGAGUGACAGUUGGUGGCUUAACUGCCAAAGUGCUUCGAAACUGACAGACUUGAGGGCUUCAGAGGGACACGGAAUUCCGGGUGGAGUGGUGAAAUGCGUAGAGAUCCGGAGGAACACCAAAGGCGAAGGCAGUGUCCUGGGAGUACCUGACGCUCAGGUGCGAAAGCCAGGGGAGCGAACGGG
rnacentral:rRNA from 1 species